AACGAACGCUGGCGGCAGGCUUAACACAUGCAAGUCGAGCGCCCCGCAAGGGGAGCGGCAGACGGGUGAGUAACGCGUGGGAAUCUACCCAUCUCUACGGAAUAACGCAUGGAAACGUGUGCUAAUACCGUAUACGUCCUUCGGGAGAAAGAUUUAUCGGAGAUGGAUGAGCCCGCGUUGGAUUAGCUAGUUGGUGGGGUAAAGGCCUACCAAGGCGACGAUCCAUAGCUGGUCUGAGAGGAUGAUCAGCGACACUGGGACUGAGACACGGCCCAGAAUCCUACGGGAGGCAGCAGUGGGGAAUAUUGGACAAUGGGCGCAAGCCUGAUCCAGCCAUGCCGCGUGAGUGAUGAAGGCCCUAGGGUUGUAAAGCUCUUUCACCGGUGAAGAUAAUGACGGUAACCGGAGAAGAAGCCCCGGCUAACUUCGUGCCAGCAGCCGCCGUAAGAC
rnacentral:rRNA from 1 species